ensembl:lncRNA
AUCUCUACCCAUCUUCUCUCUCUCUCUACCCCUCUCUCUCUCUCUACCUCUCUCUCUCUACCCCUCUCUACCCCUCCUCUCUCUUUCUCUCUACCCAUUUUCUCUCUCACUCUACCCCCCUUCUCUCUACCCCUCAUCUCUCUCUUUCUCUCUCUCUACCCCUCUCUCUCUCUUUACCCCUCAUCUCUUUCUCUACCCCUCCCUCUUCUCUCUCUCUCUCUCUCUCUCUCUCUCUCUACCCCUCUUCUCUUUCUCUCUCUCCCUCUCUCGUUCUCUCUCUCUCUCUCUUUCUCUACCCUCAUCUCUCUCCCUCUCUUUCUCUCAUUCUCUCUAACCCCUUCUAUCUCACUCUCUCUCAUUCGCUCUACCCUCUCUCUCUGUCUCAUUCUCUGCCCCCUCUCUCUCUCUGUCUCUCAUGCUCUGAAAUGUGAGGUUUUCGCUGUAUGACACAUGCCCAUUGCUAUGUCAGGUCCUCUUGUCUGAGUCCCAGUACUAAGGCUGUUGACCGCUGGGUCAUUGUGGAGACUGAGGGUCUGUCAUCACGAGGGGAAUGGACAAUGUGAGAUCCCCAUGUAUUGUGCAACACUAAGGGAGCCAGACCUCCAUGUACACUUAAAGGGGAUGGAAAGGGAGCCAGACCUCCAUGUACACUUAAAGGGGACGGAAAGGGAGCCAGACCUCCAUUUUGGAGUUUGGAAUCUCAGAUGCACUUCCGCUUUUCAAAAUGGACUUUUCCGUUUCACUAAAAAGACUGGGGGACUGAAGUGUAUGAGAGUAAUGUUGUGGCUUUGUGAUAGAACACUCCUCUCCCCGGUCAUGACCGACCAUUUACAGAGAGCUGGCCGAGAACAUCCGAAUGAACGCAGAAAUAAACUACAUUUCAGAGAAAAGUGAGCUAAAUACAACUUUUAUAUUUGACUUUAUUCCAUGUUAUUUCUUACUUUACUUUUCAAAGAGGCAGCAGAAGUUAUUCAUAUGUGAAAUGAAAUUAUAUUGUAGACCCUUGAAAUAUUAGAGCGACGAGGGUACCAGUCUCUGCAGCCAAACAGAGAAUCAGCCGUUUGCUAUUGUUGUUGUUGUUUUCCUGCUUGUAUCACAAUGCAUUCUGGUACUUGUAGUCCUGUAAUGCUUUUUUUUAAGGUGAAGAACAUGGUGUGGUUAUCAGAUCAAUUUAUUUUUAGUUGGUUUUAAUGUGGAUAAAACAUGUUUGGAUUUCAUAUGAAAUGUUCUUGUUUUGGCAAAGGAAAGCUAUGGGGAAAAAUGGGAAAAACACAAAUAAAGCUUUUUGUCUAUAGCGGA